rnacentral:rRNA from 1 species
GACGAACGCUGGCGGCGUGCUUAACACAUGCAAGUCGAACGGGCCUUGUCCCCUUUUUUUUUGGGGGUGGGGUUAGUGGCGAACGGGUGAGUAACACGUGAGUAACCUGCCCCUCACUUCUGGAUAACCGCUUGAAAGGGUGGCUAAUACGGGGUGUUUUGGCCUGCUCGCAUGGGUGGGUUUGGAAAGAUUCGACCGGUUUUGGCGGUUUUGGUGGGGGAUGGGCUCGCGGUCUAUCAGCUUGUUGGUGGGGUGAUGGCCUGGCAAGGCUUUGACGGGUGGCCGGCCUGGGAGGGUGGGCGGUCACAGUGGGACUGCGACGCGGCCCAGACUCCUACGGGAGGCAGCAGUGGGGAAUAUUGCACGAUGGGCGCAAGCCUGAUGCAGCGACGCCGCGUGAGGGAUGGAGGCCUUCGGGUUGUGAACCUCUUUCGCCAGUGAAGAAGGUCCUGCUCUUUGUGGUGGGGUUGACGGUAGCUGGGUUAAUGAAGCGCCGGCUAACUACGU